GCCGAAAGGCGUAGUCGAUGGGAAACGGGUUAAUAUUCCCGUACUUGGUGUUACUGCGAAGGGGGGACGGAGAAGGCUAUGUUGGCCGGGCGACGGUUGUCCCGGUUUAAGCGUGUAGGCUGGUUUUCCAGGCAAAUCCGGAAAAUCAAGGCUGAGGCGUGAUGACGAGGCACUACGGUGCUGAAGCAACAAAUGCCCUGCUUCCAGGAAAAGCCUCUAAGCAUCAGGUAACAUCAAAUCGUACCCCAAACCGACACAGGUGGUCAGGUAGAGAAUACCAAGGCGCUUGAGAGAACUCGGGUGAAGGAACUAGGCAAAAUGGUGCCGUAACUUCGGGAGAAGGCACGCUGACACGUAGGUGAAGUGAUUUACUCAUGGAGCUGAAGUCAGUCGAAGAUACCAGCUGGCUGCAACUGUUUAUUAAAAACACAGCACUGUGCAAACACGAAAGUGGACGUAUACGGUGUGACGCCUGCCCGGUGCCGGAAGGUUAAUUGAUGGGGUCAGCGCAAGCGAAGCUCCUGAUCGAAGCCCCGGUAAACGGCGGCCGUAACUAUAACGGUCCUAAGGUAGCGAAAUUCCUUGUCGGGUAAGUUCCGACCUGCACGAAUGGCGUAAUGAUGGCCAGGCUGUCUCCACCCGAGACUCAGUGAAAUUGAACUCGCUGUGAAGAUGCAGUGUACCCGCGGCAAGACGGAAAGACCCCGUGAACCUUUACUAUAGCUUGACACUGAACAUUGAGCCUUGAUGUGUAGGAUAGGUGGGAGGCUUUGAAGUGUGGACGCCAGUCUGCAUGGAGCCGACCUUGAAAUACCACCCUUUAAUGUUUGAUGUUCUAACGUGGACCCGUUACCCGGGUUGCGGACAGUGUCUGGUGGGUAGUUUGACUGGGGCGGUCUCCUCCUAAAGAGUAACGGAGGAGCACGAAGGUUGGCUAAUCCUGGUCGGACAUCAGGAGGUUAGUGCAAUGGCAUAAGCCAGCUUGACUGCGAGCGUGACGGCGCGAGCAGGUGCGAAAGCAGGUCAUAGUGAUCCGGUGGUUCUGAAUGGAAGGGCCAUCGCUCAACGGAUAAAAGGUACUCCGGGGAUAACAGGCUGAUACCGCCCAAGAGUUCAUAUCGACGGCGGUGUUUGGCACCUCGAUGUCGGCUCAUCACAUCCUGGGGCUGAAGUAGGUCCCAAGGGUAUGGCUGUUCGCCAUUUAAAGUGGUACGCGAGCUGGGUUUAGAACGUCGUGAGACAGUUCGGUCCCUAUCUGCCGUGGGCGCUGGAGAACUGAGGGGGGCUGCUCCUAGUACGAGAGGACCGGAGUGGACGCAUCACUGGUGUUCGGGUUGUCAUGCCAAUGGCACUGCCCGGUAGCUAAAUGCGGAAGAGAUAAGUGCUGAAAGCAUCUAAGCACGAAACUUGCCCCGAGAUGAGUUCUCCCUGAGACUUAGAGUCUCCUGAAGGAACGUUGAAGACGACGACGUUGAUAGGCCGGGUGUGUAAGCGCAGCGAUGCGUUGA
rnacentral:rRNA from 1 species